rnacentral:rRNA from 1 species
CCUACGGGGGGCUGCAGUGGGAAAUAUUGCACAAUGGGCGCAAGCCUGAUGCAGCCAUGCCGCGUGUGUGAAGAAGGCCUUCGGGUUGUAAAGCACUUUCAGCGGGGAGGAAGGCGUUAAGGUUAAUAACCUUGUCGAUUGACGUUACCCGCAGAAGAAGCACCGGCUAACUCCGUGCCAGCAGCCGCGGUAAUACGGAGGGUGCAAGCGUUAAUCGGAAUUACUGGGCGUAAAGCGCACGCAGGCGGUCUGUCAAGUCGGAUGUGAAAUCCCCGGGCUCAACCUGGGAACUGCAUUCGAAACUGGCAGGCUAGAGUCUUGUAGAGGGGGGUAGAAUUCCAGGUGUAGCGGUGAAAUGCGUAGAGAUCUGGAGGAAUACCGGUGGCGAAGGCGGCCCCCUGGACAAAGACUGACGCUCAGGUGCGAAAGCGUGGGGAGCAAACAGGAUUAGAUACCCGUGUAGUC